UUAUAGGGAAAUGAACAUGUGUUAGUUUAUGAUAGUGCAAUCGUAAUAUAUCAUAAAGAUGCAGAGGAACAUGUUCUUUUAACGGAAUAACGUUUAACUUUGCAUCUUUGACAAGGAAACUACAGCACAAUAUUUACAACCGGAUUUUAUAUAAAUGCACAUUCUUGACCUUUUCCUGAGCUAUAAAGGAUAUCGCGGUCUUAAAUUACAUGUUACCUGGUGCAAAUUGUCUCUAAGGAUAUAUAUGUGACAUAACACAUUUAUUUAUCAUUUACUGGAAGUAUCAUGUGGUGUAAUUAAAUGAUUCUUAUAAUAUAGUCUCAACAUCCUGCAGCCAUCAGUAAUAUAAACAACGCAAUUGUUAUUCUUACGAGAUAAAAAAGAAACAUUCCACGAAAAAGAUGCUGUUGGUUAAUUUCUGUAUGUUUACCUUUUUGCCAUGGUUAAUGGCUGUACACAUUCAUGAUGAUUUUGUUACUGUUGUUUUAAAAGAUUGUUAUUCGUACGAAAAUAUGGACAAUGCCUUAACCAUGGGGACUGUGGAACAAAUGAAGUGUUUGCAGCAUCAUAUUUUAAAUUUAUAUGACGGUAAUAUCAGACUCAACCCAAUCGAUUUGCUUCUUAUCCAUGUCAGCAUGACGCAUUUAAAGAAUGGUGAGCCACUAACGCUGGAUAUAUCAUCGAUAAUCAAGACGAAAACAUUUGAUCCUCUUCCAAACACAUCUGUUCACCUAUCGGAUUUGAUAAAGCGAAGAGUCAAAAGGUCGAGGAGAUAUAGAUAUGGACGUACACAAUAUACACCAUCAGAAUUACCAGACUCCGAUCUUCAAAGGAUUCUUAGAGAUAUCUUAGAUUCACCUGCGCCUAUUAUUAAGAAGCCUUUUCGUAUUCAUCAUAACUUAACAGACUCACGAACGCAUAAUACAUCACCUAAAACUUCUAAGGAACAUCCUGUCAAUCUCAAAAACUUAAUGUCAUAUGUCAAACGUCAUUAUCCAAACUUUCGAGAAACCGAUUAUCAAAGGCUUAUUCAAAAGAUCAAAGACUCACCUGCACCUAAUAUUAAGAAACGAUUUGAGACCAAAGAAUCCAUGGUAGAUCCAAGAACCUAUCGUCAUCAUAAAAAAUCUGAUGACACAGGCAGGAGAAGGAAAUCGUAUAGAUAUUCAGGCUAUAGAACAACUGGGUGAAAUACAUGUAUUGAUGAAGGUAGCAUUAAAUGAUGUAUGAAUACUUUAUAAUGUUACUGACUUAUGAUUGUGAACUAACUAAUUGCUUUUAAAUUUGUUGCAUUUAUGUUUUAUGUAAUUUGUAUUUUGUUUGCCACAAGCUGUACUUAUGCUUUACGACAAUAAAGAUAAAGAUAAAUAUAUAA